UACGAAGGGGACUAGCGUUGUUCGGAAUUACUGGGCGUAAAGCGCACGUAGGCGGAUUUGUUAGUCAGGGGUGAAAUCCCGGGGCUCAACCUCGGAACUGCCCUUGAUACUGCAAAUCUCGAGUCCGAUAGAGGUGGGUGGAAUUCCUAGUGUAGAGGUGAAAUUCGUAGAUAUUAGGAAGAACACCGGUGGCGAAGGCGGCCCACUGGAUCGGUACUGACGCUGAGGUGCGAAAGCGUGGGGAGCAAACAGG
rnacentral:rRNA from 1 species